CACGAAUAUAGUCCCUAGUGUUGACAGUGGGUUACUUGCCAUUAAUUUUUAUACCCCUUCCAAAUUUAUUUCUCCAUGUUUAAUGCCUCAAAUUGCAAGUAGGGGGUGAAAUUACACUGUAAAAAAUUUGGGUCCAGAAUUUUAAAGGAAAGUAGUGAUUUGGUCCAGCUGAAAAAGGUUGAAAAUUAGCACUUCGGAAGCUGUCAAAAGAUUUCAAGACGCCUUAAACAUAAAAUUGUCCAUAUUUUGAGUUAGAGCCGAUGAAGUUUUCUAUAAUUUUGAUAUAAUUUGUCCCAAAAGUAGUACAACACACUGUAAAAGUUUCUUUGAGAAAGCGCAG
rnacentral:lncRNA from 1 species